GAUGAACGCUAGCUACAGGCUUAACACAUGCAAGUCGAGGGGUAACGAGAGGAAAGCUUGCUUUCCUUGUCGACGACCGGCGCACGGGUGAGUAACGCGUAUCCAACCUGCCCCCAACUAGGGAAUAACCUUGCGAAAGUAAGACUAAUACCCUAUAAUUUCCUCAGAUGACAUCUGACGAGGAAUAAAGAUUUAUCGGUUGUGGAUGGGGAUGCGUCUGAUUAGCUUGUUGGCGGGGUAACGGCCCACCAAGGCCACGAUCAGUAGGGGUUCUGAGAGGAAGGUCCCCCAGAUUGGAACUGAGAGAGGGUCCAAACUCCUACGAGAGGCAGCAGUGAGGAAUAUUGGUCAAUGGGCGAAAGCCUGAACCAGCCAAGUGGCGUGCAGGAUGACGGCCCUAUGGGUUGUAAACUGCUUUUAUACAGGAAUAAAGUUAGCCACGUGUGGUUAUUUGUAGGUACUGUAUGAAUAAGGACCGGCUAAUUCCGUGCCAGCAGCCGCCGUAA
rnacentral:rRNA from 1 species